ensembl:lncRNA
CCAUCUGUCACAGAUAUGGCAGAAGCUCUGAAUGAAUUAGGAAUGUAUUUCAGGCCCAGAAGUGUGAUUUCAUGUCACAGUCUAGACAGUACUAUCUUACUACUUCCACCUACACAGCCUGCUAAGUCCAAAAACUUACAGGAAUGGACAGCGGAUAUCAAAGCAUUAAAAAUAAAGAUUGGUAAGAGUUUUCCAAAAAUUUUUUUAAUAUUUAUCAAUAAAAAUUUAUGCUCCUUUACUUAAAAUGUUCAUAUGAUCUUCAUUCUAUACUGAUGCUUUUUUUUUUUUUUUUGUCGUUUUGCUAUUUCUUUGGGCCGCUCCCGCGGCAUAUGGAGGUACCCGGGCUAGGGGUCGGAUCGGAGCUGUAGUCACUGGCCUACGCCAGAGCCACAGCAACGCGAGAUCCGAGCCGCGUCUGCAACCUACGCCACAGCUCACGGCAACGCUGGAUCCCCAACCCACUGAGCUAGGGAAGGGACCGAACCCACAACCUCAUGGUUCCUAGUCGGAUUCGUUAACCACUGCGCCACGAUGGGAACUCCUAUACUGAUGUUUUUGAUAAAUUCUACUUCCCCUUUUCUUCAGCCUUUUAAGAGAUUUAGAGAAAAAUAACCCAAAAGUUAGCUGUGAUAUCACUGAAAGUAAUAUUUUUCUUUCAAAAUAAUAAUUAAAGUAACCCCCCCAUUUUGAUUAAAUCUACUCAUUCUUGUCUAUAUAGAUCUGCAUGGUCAUAUGCAGUAGUCACUUAGCUUUUUUUGGCAACUGAGUGCUUGAAAUAUGUCUAAUACAAACUGAGAUCUAACUGAAAGACACAUAGUAUUUCACAAACAUAGCUUGAAAGAAAAGAUGAUAAAUAUAUCGUUGAUAACUUUCAUACUGACAUGUUGAAAGUAUUUAGUUUGAGUUUGAUAAAAUAUAUUAUAAAAUUAAUUUCACCUGUUUCCUGUUCUUUUAACGUUUUUACUAGAAAAUGGAAAGUUAUAUGCCUUGCAUUUGUGGCUUCUGUUUAUUUCUGUUAAGUAUAUCUGCUUGACUAAUAGAAGGGAAACAUUGGCACUAUGUUAAAAAAACCCAUAUUAGAUGAAAUUUUAAAAUAAAAAUUUAAAGGAGAAAAUGCCACAAUUCUAUUUCUUUUUUUUAUAAUUUUAAAAUUAUUUAUUAUUUAUUUUUUUAGGCAUGAUUCUUAUUCACCAUGCUGUACAGUAGAAAAAAAAAUGUAUUGGGGAAAUAACUAUUAAAAAAUUUUAAAAAAUGAUUUAUCAAGAAGAUGAGAUGGUAAAAACUACAAUAAGAAUCAUGCCCAAAAUUCUAUUUCUAAAUGUAAUGGAGUACUUCUUCAACUCUGGAAACCAGAUUUAUUACCCUCCCCCCCAAAAAAAGAUGUUUGAAGACAUCAGAGAGCUAAUGAGGCAACCCAAACUGGAGAGAGUGGAAUCCCAGGAGGAAGGCCAAUGCUGAGGUAUGAGAUGAAGUAAAAGCAUUAGAGAACCCGACAGCCUUUGCAGGGAUGGAGGGAAGCCAACAGAGCUUCUGACACUCUUAAGGGGAUGAUGGAAAGGCAAAAAUUGGAUUUAGGACUUCCAAGCAUCGCGGAUUUGAAAUUCAAGAUUUUGGAGAAGAAGGAAGGACAAAGAAGUGAGCCCAACAUGAGUGAAUUUCCAUUUCAUAUAUUUGCCAAAUUUCUUAAAUUUUUCAAAAGCAAAAGAUUUAGAAGUAAAGAAGAAAGUGUGUGAAAUGUAGAACAAAGUUUUCGGCUGUCUCAGAAUUCUAAGAAAGUAAAAGUUGAACUUUCAAGUAGAUGCCAAAGGUGGUGUCAUAAUAAAGACUCCAGGCUCCCAAAGGAGGACCAAACUCUGUUGAGGAAAACCAGAGUUUGAUGGAGUCUUAUGAAAACUCUACCCAGUCUUGGUAGAUAGAACUCCCAGCUUUAUCUAUUUGUCAGAGGGAGGUGUACUCUCAGGAGAAAGAUAGUGCCAUUCAGAGCCUAUACAUUUUUUUCUAUGUAAUAUUAGCUGUUUUAUUAAAACUUACUAUGCAUGUAAAGAAACAGAACCUAUAAGGAAGAAAAAAAAAAAAAAACAGUCCUAUAAAUGCAACAUGCUAUGGUCUUAACAUGCACUCCCCAAAUAUAUAUGUUGAAACCUAACUGCUAAAGUGAUGGCAUUAAGGGUGGGACCUUGGAGGUUAGGUCAUGAGGGCAGAGCACCCAGGAAUGAAAUUAGUGUGUUUAUAAAAGAGGCUCCAGAGAGCUCCCUUGUCUCCUUAGCCAAGUAAGGAUACAAUGCCCUUGAGAGUGUAGGCCAUCACCAAAUACCUGACUAUGUUGUUGCCAUCUUGACCCUGGUCUUUCCAGCCUCCAAAACUAUGCAAAAUAAAUUUCUUGACAGACAGAAAUUAAAAUUCAAAUGGAAACUCUAGAACUAAAAAUACAAUUACAGAAAUUAAAAAAAAAACUCUCAGAAGAAAUAUUCAGUUGCAAGAGAGAGGAUUAGUGAACUCUAAAAGAACUCUAAACUAGUUAUUGAAAAAUAUCAGGCUAACUCAGAAAGCAAAAGUGAUGGAAAAUAUGCAAAAGAGAGUAAGAGAUAUAUGAGUCUUAAUAAGUGUUCCAGUAAGAAUUAUCACUGGAGUCCUGGAAGAGAAAGAGAAAGACAACAGGCAGUCAUCCUAUUUGAAUAUUCACUGGCUGAGAAUUUUCCACAACUGUCAAAAGCUAUCAGACUUCAGAGUCAGGAAGCCCUUACAAACCUGUCUGGGAUAAAUAUAAAGAAAAUCAUGUUAGGUUCAUCAUAGUAAAACUUUGGAAAAACAGAGACCAGCGGAUGAUUUUACAAGCAUGGAGGUUCAAGGUUGGGAGGCAAGAGCUAAUGAUCCACUCACUUCCUAGAAGAAGAAAAGAAUAUAACUUGGCAAAUGUGAGACUGGAUGAAAUUAGGCAUCAAAAGAGUUUUGCAAGGCUCAUAAUUCAACAUCCUUGGAAAGGCUGCUUCAGACCAACAUAUGCCAUCUGAAGCCCCCAAAUUGAUCUGUGCAUGGAAACGGUCAGUUAGCUGUAACAAAUUAUAGUGAUUUUUGUGGGUAUAUAAUAUUGUCAGUUCUUUAUUAACUAUGGGGACAGUAUCUACCAGAAGAAAAGAACAAUAAUAAAUGGAAAUUAAGAAAGCUGAUCCAUUCUAAAAAUCAUGUCAGUAAUCUUUAAAAUUGUCAUUAUUUUGGCAUGUUACCAAUGAAUAAUAUUGGGAAAUGUUAUUGAGGGUUGCAGGAGUGAAACAACUAUUGUUAUGAUAUCACCCUGCUGCCUAUUUAAAUGAAGAUAAUAGACUAGUUAGAUCAGUUUUACAAAUGACAUCAUGACCCUAAUUCUUCAUAAACUACAAAAAUAUUUGCCACAGUUACUUCUUCCAUUCAUAUUUGUUCAGAUCCUCCUCCAAUAAUAAAUGAUAUGUGUGCCUAUUUGCUGUGGUAAAUAAAUCUUAAAAAUACAAAAGCAGAAAUGUUCUCCAUCAGACAUCACUGAGAAACACCUAUAAUAGUGAAGAAAAAGAAAGAAAAGUACAACCAUACAUGUGUAUGUCUAUCACUGUACACAGAACAUAUAUCAUAGUUUCAUCACUGUCUUAUGUGCUUUGAGGCCUGAACCAUGUGGUUCACUCUGCCAGUGGCUUGACCCUUUCUGAUUUUAACCAUCUUUCAACCGCUUUUUCAUCCAUUUAUUCAGCCAUUUAUUCUACAGAUAUUUACUGGGGAUCCAGUCUGUAGUAGGCACUAUUCUAGAUACAAUACCUAAAUGGAAGAGACAAGGUAAUUAAGUAAAAGACAUGGAAUGUUAGAUGCUGGUUAGUGUUAUGAAGAAAAAUUAGGUUAAGGAAGAGGUCAAAAACUGAUGAGGUGCAAUUUUAGAUAGGAUAGCCAAAGAAUGGUGACAUUGGGGACAAUUUGUCAGUCAGAAAUUGCAGUAAACACAAGGUCGGGGGGAAGGGGAAGGGUUUUAUGUUCAAGAACAAAGAGGCCCAUGGGACUGGAGCAGAGGGAACUUAAGGAGUGUAAUAGGAGAUGCAACCUGAAAGGUUCUUGGGAACAAGUUCCUAAAAGGCAUGGUUAGGAGUUCCCACUGUGGUGAAUGGGUUAAGGAUCCAGCAUUGUCUCUGCAGCAGUGCAGGUUCUAUCCCUGGCCUGACCCAGUGGGUUAAGGAUCUGGUGUUGCCACAGCUGUGGUUUGGAUUCAAUCCCUGGCCCAGGAAUCUCCAUAUGCUGUGGGUGCAGCCAAAAAAAUUUUUUGAAGGGGGGGUGUUGCUGGUUAGGUCAUUGAUUAAUUUUAGCAUUUACUCUGAAUAAAAUGCAGAGGAGUUAUAGAAUAUAAAGUUAGACGUUAAAGGAAUAUUCUGGCUGUGGUGUGGAGGACCAUGGGGCCAAGACCAGGGAGCAGAGAGACCAGUUACAAGGCCAUUCCAAGAAUAAAAUAAUGUUGUCUUCAUUUAGGAUGUGCUGAUGCAGAUACUGAGAGGUCAUUGGAUUCUGGCUAUAUUUUACCCAUAGAGCCAAGAGAUGUUGCUGAUGGAUUAGCCAUGAGAAGGAAAAGAGUUAAGGAUGACCUUAACAUUUUUGGUCUAAGUAGCUGGAAACUGUAGUAGGUAUCUGCUAAAAGGGAGAUUGUGGGAAGGGCAGAUUUUGGAAAUCUCACUUUAGGACACAUUCAUUAAGUUUGAGAUGCUAGAUACAUGUCUAAGUAGUAAAUCUUAUUUUUGCAUAUCUAUGGAAAAGACCAGUUCAAAAGGGAGAGUAAUUUAUAAAUAAAUACUCAAUAAUUUUCCACAAUUAUUUAGAUUCAUAAUAUAAGUUAUUAGAAGAUACACUUUUGAGUCUGGCUACUCAGCAUACUGUUUGUCCUCGCUUCUUACAAUGUUAACAUUGUCUUGCUACACCAGAAAGGAGGUGGUCCAUGUUCUAUAACCUUGAUUAGUCAUAGAGUCUUAUGUUCUUUGACAAUAGGAGGUGACCCAAUCAAACUCCUUCCUGCUACUGAUAUAUUGGUACAGAUAUAUUAAGAGAAAUCAAUUAUUUUUCUUUAAAUUUAAAAAUUUGGGAUUAUAUAAAUCUGCAGCCACCAGUUACCCCCUUCCCUCAGGUCAUUCAAUGCUAGAAGACCACGAGGACAAUACACAGCCAAAAAGACUGCUGAGGGGUUAUCAGAUACAACUUAGAAUAGAUCUACUUUGAGAACUAUGUCUAGAUACUCAUAUUGCAGCAGAACAAAGGGUGGGGAAAAAAUGUAUACAUGUAAGGAUAACUUGAUCCCCUU